AAGCUGGCGUCACCGUCCGUGACAAGAAAGCCUAUGCGGUCACCAUUUGAACAACGCAAGCCAAACUUAACAAUCAAACCAAUGAGCGUACAACACAAUCGGAAAAUAACGCAAUGAGACGGUCUCAUCUCGAGACUCAUCUGCAUUUCGUCCUUGGCUUUUCAACGGUCUUGUCGCAAAGUGUCAUAUAUUUAGGUGGUGGGGGCGUUGUGGGGGGUGCUAAGCCUGUCUGCGAAUCUGCUAGUGUGAUGUCAUCACUAUGAGACACUGGUGUGAUAUGACGGUGAGGUAAUGGCAGGAGAGGAUUGCAAGUUUAUUACUUUGGCACGCGGUUAGUUUGGCUUCUGCAGACUGCAACGCGGUUUUAAUGAGAAUAGAUGAUCUACUUCAAGCGAUUCGUGUAUGUUUUCAUGUGAAUGAGAGAGCACAUGUUCAAGCUAAGAGGCAUUUAUGACGGGAGGCGAUUCAAAUUACGUAUACAGUACAGGUAUGGUCAAGGGACUAAAAUGGCUUGUACGCUUGUGCUAGUUCCAGGCCAGUGCCCUUUCUUUUUCCACCAGCAAAAUUGGCUCUAGCGCUAGCUUUAGCUCUGGUGCUUGAAAAUGGUUCUUAAGCUGGCCCCAAUUAUUUGUUGGGCCAGACGCUGGCAACGACGACGUCAGGGGGUGGUGGGCGGCGGGCGGGGUUAUCAUGACGAUUGCAGAUGUAGAGAAAUGACUCACUGGACACAUGGAAGGUUUGCACAAAGUCUUGAGUGGUGAACUCCGGCACAAUUGUGUCCCACCAGAAGGACGAUUGGGCCCAUUCAACCCAGAUGACAUCAUCGAAUGCCGGCGUGCCAAGUGUGCUCCAUAAAGGCCAGACAUGUUUCAGGAGUGAGGGAGUACCGAUGGUGCGCUGAGACGAGAGGAUUGUUUCAGUCUUUUGGCGCAAAUUAUUGAAACGAUGAACCAAAAACAGGUUUGGCCUUGGGACCGAAGAGGGUCACGAAACUGCUGGAAUGGAGAGUGUGGGUGGUGGUAUGCAUGGUGAGUAGAGAACUCAGGUGCGGUCUUGCAGAUGAUUCACAAACGUUCCCGGUGCCGCUAGAUCCAAAACGGUCGGAUUCAGUUGUCUUCUGUGAACCAGAACGCAGCCUCCUAUGGCACAAAUACAGCACAAAACCAAAUACAACACUUCAUACAUUUUCCUUCUGCCCCAGAAUCACAGUUGU